rnacentral:rRNA from 1 species
AUGCCGAGGUGGGGCUCGGACGACAUGACAAGGCAUGCCAACGAGUGGAGUGAACGCCAAGGGUUGCAGCACUCACGCGCAUGGUGCCGUUCUUCAAACAACGAGGGCACCGAAGGGAAUCUCGACAAAUUGUCGCACGGUGCCCAAAAGCGAGGCAUAUGCAACAUCUCUCAUGAAGCCAAGCGGGAAUGGGACAGGAGUCAUCGUCGGGGCAGGUGGUGCCGGACGUCGCGGCAACACCUCCCGCCAUCCUCUGUCUGUCACCACCUCACACCGGACACACGCCAAGCAGUCGGAGGUGAGAAAUUGGUAGAGCCAGCACCGUCUGCGGGGCUAGCACUCCGUCUUCGUUGGCCUCGUCGUCAUUGGCGAGGGAGGCCCACAUCACAGGCCGCCCAAGCGUACCGUUGGGGUUGA